GCAUUCCAGGUAAAUGAAAGGCAGUUAACAGACAGCUCAGCCAGGAUCAGUGGGCAGUCCCAACUUUAUAACAACUAGAACUGGCUGCCUUUGACUUAAUGAAGUUCCCAGAGUGGACAGAGAUUCUUUAAAAAAUAGUUGGCCUAAAUGACUUCUAGGGUCAUCCAAACUUUGCCAGGUUACUAUGAUGGAGAAUGGUUGAUAAACAAGCAAAGACGAGAGAAUCCCACUAAAAGGUGAAAUAGGAAUAGAGGGUGCAAAUCAAUUUCACAUUGACACUUCCUCCCAUCUGUUCGAUUCAUCUGUUGGACGGUCACUCGCUGCCACUUCAGAGCCACAGGGAGUUCACUCUUCCUUUCAUACCCCUCUGGGAAGCCCAUGGAAAUUAUCUCUGAUUGAUGUGAUUCCUUCUUUUGGUCCUAAUGACAAAAUUACAGCAAAAUCCAGUCCUACUCUGCACCACACUUGGAAGAAAUCUGCUCAGCGUUUGUCUGCCAACCACAACAAAAACUUGAUUAGCUGGGACUCGGCACACAUUGUGGGUAUUCAAAAUCUCCUGAGCACCUUGGAUCCUCUUCCCUGAAGAUACAUGAGACUCUCUCCAGAACCUUCCCAUGGUGUGUGGCAUUGUGAGAAAUGAAACCAUCCUUUGGACCAAUCUAACAGAUCAUUUUACAUCUAGGAAAUAAAGAAGAAGCCAGAAUGAUAAUUUGAUACCUUGAACAAAAAUCAACCGCAUAUUAAGGGAGAAGAAUUAUAAAGAAAGGAAAGAGGUUGGUGACUAUUAACUCGGGAUUGAGAACACAUUCUUCACUCCUGAUCACAGUUUACAAGGCCCUGCAUGACCCAGUCCCUGCCUACUUUUUUUGACUACAUCCAUGCCCAUACCCCCAAACUCUCUGAAUCAAUAUGACAAAGAAAGAAAAAGUCUUGUAUCGGCCCACGAUGAUAAGGAAGUAGCGGUACUGAGCAGAGGCGGAGACUCUGCAGGACUACAUAGCUGGCAGGGACGAGCGGGCUGGACCAUAGCACCAUCUAACUCCACAGCCUGCGUUCUCCAUCAGUACUGGAGACUGUGUGGGAAGACAGGAAAGUGUGUUUUCAUCAAUUGUUUUCCAACUUCUAUUAAUGAAAUAUGUCUGAGCAGCUGUGACAAGAAGAAAGUCUUUUAUCAGCCCAAAAUCUUGAGUCUGUCGUAGCACGUUGUGUCUUUCAAAUCAGAUGCUGCUGUUUUGUCAAAUAUCAAGAAACUACCACAUCUGUCUCUCUCUCAUGUACCCCUUUCUCUAGGACCCUCUCACUAGGCAGCUAAGAUCCAAGCAGUAGAUGAAAGUCAUGUCUGUCUAGGAUGGUUAGUGAAUGGAUUUGACAAGCUCUGUAUUUGAGGAAAGCCAUCUGCCCUUCGCCCAAAUUUUCUCACCAAAGUCACCACCCACCAGCAUGAAAGUCAAUGGUGCAAAAUUGUGGGAAUUGGGUCCUGCCACUCUACUGGUAGCCAUUUUCUGGGAAGCAAAUCCUUUUAUUCACCCCACUACCUAUACUCCCAUCUUCAGUUUCAUUAACAUUGCCCCCCACGUACGCCACUCUGCUUUGCUUCUUGUCUCCAGCUUAAAGUUCGAAAGCCUCACAAGAUAGGUAGGUGUUUUAUGUUCUGGGUGUUGAAACAUGGGGCCUCCUAAGGAAGUGGCCUGCAUACUGCACCCCCCCCAUGUAGCAGUCAUUCCUGAGCAUGACUCAUUUGGGGAAUGCUUUGACCCAGCAUCAGAGCCGCAGACAACAAGUCCCCAAUUUUCCUACCCAAGUUCCACUUACAAGAAAACCAUCAGUGACCUCACCACACUCAAUGGACUGAAAAUCUCUGGCAAGAAAGAAUUUUAGAGGUGACCUGACAGUAUAGUCCCACCACCAGUUACAGAAUCAAAGAGAACAAUUAUAGUUCAAAGGCAAAAUGUGUGCUAUCUUCUCAUUAUUUUUUCUGAUAUUAAGUCUUUUUUAUUAAGAGAAUCAUAAUGCUCGUUCUCUCUACAUGACACUUUCCAUCUUUAAACAUUAACUAAUUAAUUGACUGAAAUGGU